GGCAUAAGUGUUUCACAAACAUCUUGUGUUCACAUAUAUAAUAGAAAGGAAAUCUUUGAGAAAAAGUCUCAAAUUAGAAUUAGUUACAGACAAACAGACAGACAAAAAAUCUGACAACAAGUGACCAGAAAAGCUCCCUCAAGCUCAUAACUCAGGUGAGCUAAAAACCUUAUAAUCGCUCUAAGAAUAUGUGUUGAAUUCACAUGGUACUGAUCAAUGCCAAGUUCAACACAAGAGAAUAAAUUCAUUGCAAAAAAAAUUUCCUUUCAGACUGCAGGAAGAGCUGCUGAAUAAAUUCAAAUCUCAGAUGAAGUUCCAGCUGAUGUGUUUCUAUGGUGACAAUAUUUUGAGAUCUUCAAGUGAGGCAUAGCUGCAUUCAGCAGACUUAAAAUGAUUAUAAUGUCACUUGAUAGAGGUCGAAGGAUGGAAAUUCAUGAUGUGAAAGUGUCAUAUGACCUGCUAUUGUGCAAUACAUUUUGUUUUGUUAUUGAAAUGUCCUUUUUUGUCUUUGCAUCAAAUAUUAAAACUCAAAAUG
rnacentral:misc_RNA from 1 species